UACGUAGGGUCCGAGCGUUAAUCGGAAUUACUGGGCGUAAAGCGUGCGCAGGCGGUUUUGUAAGUCAGAUGUGAAAUCCCCGGGCUUAACCUGGGAAUGGCAUUUGGGACUGCAAGGCUUGAGUGCGGCAGAGGGGGGUGGAAUUCCACGUGUAGCAGUGAAAUGCGUAGAGAUGUGGAGGAACACCGAUGGCGAAGGCAGCCCCCUGGGUCGACACUGACGCUCAUGCACGAAAGCGUGGGGAGCAAACAGG
rnacentral:rRNA from 1 species